rnacentral:miRNA from 1 species
ACUAGCUCAGGCUCUCGGCAG